UACGUAGGGUGCAAGCGUUAAUCGGAAUUACUGGGCGUAAAGCGUGCGCAGGCGGUGAUGUAAGACAGGUGUGAAAUCCCCGGGCUUAACCUGGGAACUGCAUUUGUGACUGCAUCGCUGGAGUGCGGCAGAGGGGGAUGGAAUUCCGCGUGUAGCAGUGAAAUGCGUAGAUAUGCGGAGGAACACCGAUGGCGAAGGCAAUCCCCUGGGGAGUACCUGACGCUCAGGUGCGAAAGCCAGGGGAGCGAACGGG
rnacentral:rRNA from 1 species